UGACGGGGCCCGCACAAGCGGUGGAGUAUGUGGUUUAAUUCGAUGCAAACCGAAGAACCUUACCUGGGUUUGACAUGUACGUGGUACUGAGCUGAAAGGUGAGGGACUGUGCCUUCGGGUACAGAGCGUACACAGGUGCUGCAUGGCUGUCGUCAGCUCGUGUCGUGAGAUGUUGGGUUAAGUCCCGCAACGAGCGCAACCCUUGCCUUUAGUUGCCAGCAGUUCGGCUGGGCACUCUAAAGGGACUGCCGGUGUUAAACCGGAGGAAGGUGGGGAUGACGUCAAGUCCUCAUGGCCUUUAUGACCAGGGCUACACACGUACUACAAUGGCCGAUACAAAGGGCAGCGACACUGCGAGGUGAAGCCAAUCCCGUAAAAUCGGUCUCAGUCCGGAUUGGAGUCUGCAACUCGACUCCAUGAAGUUGGAAUCGCUAGUAAUCGUGGAUCAGCAUGCCACGGUGAAUACGUUCCCGGGCCUU
rnacentral:rRNA from 1 species